UGCCUAAUACAUGCAAGUCGAGCGCGGGAAGCAGAUGGAAUCCUUCGGGAGGAAGUCUGUGGAACGAGCGGCGGACGGGUGAGUAACACGUGGGUAACCUGCCUGUAAGACUGGGAUAACUCGCGGAAACGUGAGCUAAUACCGGAUGAAACUUUUCAUCACCUGAUGAGAAGAUGAAAGGCGGCUUCGGCUGCCACUUACAGAUGGACCCGCGGCGCAUUAGCUAGUUGGUGAGAUAAUGGCUCACCAAGGCAACGAUGCGUAGCCGACCUGAGAGGGUGAUCGGCCACACUGGGACUGAGACACGGCCCAGACUCCUACGGGAGGCAGCAGUAGGGAAUCUUCCGCAAUGGACGAAAGUCUGACGGAGCAACGCCGCGUGAGUGAUGAAGGUUUUCGGAUCGUAAAACUCUGUUGUUAGGGAAGAACAAGUACCGUUCGAAUAGGGCGGUACCUUGACGGUACUUAACCAGAAAGCCCCGGCUAACUACGUGCCAGCAGCCGCGGUAAUACGUAGGGGGCAAGCGUUGUCCGGAAUUAUUGGGCGUAAAGCGCUCGCAGGCGGCCUUUUAAGUCUGAUGUGAAAGCCCACGGCUCAACCGUGGAGGGUCAUUGGAAACUGAAGGGCUUGAGUACAGAAGAGGAGAGUGGAAUUCCACGU
rnacentral:rRNA from 1 species